UAUUUUCAAUGGGACAAUUUCCGACACCCAUCAAAAUGUCUCUUCCGACGACAUUUGACCCUCACUAAUGACAAUUCGUUUUGUAAUAGUUUAACGAAAGGUAGGAUCAAGGUCAAAUAGUUCACAAGCUGCUAGGGUUUGGCACCGUUUGAACAUUACUCCGGGGAUUCAAAGGUUGAGAUCACAUAUCAGAUUAGUAGAAAAGAUGAAAAUAUGCACCUGUUCUGUCCAUCAUUAACUCCGUUGUAAACACUGUUAAAUCACCUACGAAAGACUUAUAAAAAAAAGAAACAUGAAGAACUUUCGAUCCCUCUCUCUGUCAAUUAUCUUUCCCCCUCUCUUCUGUGUCUGUGUCUCUUUUGCUUCCUUCUCUUAAAUCCCUUCAAUUCCUUCCCCAAUUUCACAAAGUGCCAUGGCUGAAUCACUGAAGCUUCUAAAUCACGUGUCACGCAUGUACUCGUGAGAGAGGCCUUUUCCCUUGUAUCUUUGACUGGGACCUUUGUCAACCCAUUGUCGCGGUUGGUGAUGCCGGUGAUGAGGGGGAUACGGUGUUUCGGUGUCUCGUUAGCAAAGUCGUUAGGGAUUAAGGAUAUUUAAUGUGAAGUGGGUUUCGCCUAAAAUACAGGAGUUCAAAAUGCAGAGUUCAAAUUGGAAGGGUAAGAGAGAAAGAAGGAGGAGAGCGAUGGUUGUGGUGCGAUGGUGGUGAUCUCGUUUCAAGUUCCAAAUUUAUUUUUAUUUUGGAUAAUUUUAAAUCCGAUCCCUAUUUAUCAACGUUCUUUGAUUAAAACUUUGUUGUUUGGUUUUUUAUUGAAAUCCUUGAAAUUAAUGCAACAAUAUAUUUCUACGUAGCUUAUUAUAAUUUUUAAAUUAAAAAUUAAUAUUUAUAGUUAUUUAUAUUAAUAAGAUUUUAAAUAAAAUAUUUAAAAAAAUUAUACUUAAAUAAAACCUAUGAUUUGUUGUUAUUUAUAUUAAUAAUAUUUUACAUACAAAAAAUUGGUAAUUUUAUACAAUACAUUUUACAUACAAAAAGUUAGUACAUUUUACAAGGAAAAAAGGUGAUACAUUUUAUAUAUUGGGUACAUCUCUAACAUUAGAAAGCUAGAAGUCAAGUUUGGUGUCUCAAGACUUCACCAAAAAUUUUUAGACUAAAAAGCCCCCCAAACAAAAAAAAUUACAACUACCAACAUAAAAAAAUGUUAUAAUCUGCAAGGGCAUUUUGGGACAAAAAAGUAUCAGAUAAUUAAAGGAAAAAAGAUAAAAUAAAUAGAUAAAAGAUAAAAAUCUGCGACUUCAUAGGAGAGAAAAAGAACGUGGUGUUGUUUGAAACUGCUCUGAGCAGUUGUGUUUGGUUUAUCUCUUUCUUCGGUCACGCAAAAACUGAUUCGUCGGUUUCUUAGGUAUUUUUCUUCACUUUUUUCUCUCUUCUUUGGUAUUUUUGGUGUUUAAUUUUUUUUUCUCUAUCAUGUGCUUUAAUUUUAGCUUCCAAGGAACUAUUGGUUAUGUUAAUCCAAUUUUUCCAUUGUUCUGUUUUCAUAAACUCGAUGGCUGAGAAAGCCAAUGGGGUGGUGGACCAGAAGCCGACCAGCAACAGGUGGUGAGGCCCUAUCCUUUCCACGAAAUCGAGCUCAAAUGGCAGUGUCAUUGGGAGGAAAUCGGACUUUUUCGAACCCCAGAUGAAAUUGAUACCUCGAAGCCCAAAUACUAUCUUCUUGAUAUGUUCCCUUAUCCCAGGAAAUACCAGGGCGAGGGUUCUAUGCGUUGUUCCGGCGGAUGAGGAUGCCUUCUGAAAAUUCCAGUGCGAGGUUACUAUGUUCUGUUCCCAUGGAUAAGCAGGCAAUGCAAAGAAUUACGAACAAUGAUGGGGCCUCUAGAGAGUAACUGCAGGCUCUGCAAAAGUUUGAAUCGCUUUGUUGGUGAUUCCAUUACGUGCACACACUCUUAUUCCAACAAACACUGCAAAGGACAAAAGAAACAGAAAAAUCUGCCCCUUCAGUAAUGCAAAAAAAAAAAAAAAAAAUGACAAGGUGGCGCAUGAAAAAGGCUGUAGAAGAAUUAAAACCUUCAACAACUCCUCAAAUCAUACUUUAUUUGGAAUAAGGUCCAACAAAUUAGGUACAACACAAUUUCUUACCCAUUUAUUUUUAAUGGCAUUCUCUAUAUCAUUCUACAAAUUAAUUAUCUCAAAUUAUAAAAUAAAAAAAAUUCUACAAAUUAAUUAUUUCAAAUUAAAAAAAAAACAAUUUAUGGGUGUAGGAAAAAUAUUAAUAGUGACCAAACAACUUUUCUAAAUACGCAUCACACCCGUCUCAAAGUACAAAGGUUGAAGUACAAGAUUAAGUAUUCUACAAGUAACUGGAGUAAAAGUAUUGCCAUGAGAAAAUUGUCAAACUUAAAGAUUAACCAUAAAAAUCUAAAGCAUCAAGUGCAAUGGCAAGCAUGGCUUUGAUUUCACAUGUAGGCGCUAUGUUUACAUAUGUACAUGAAGUCCAUAUUUUGCUUUGCUUCAUAUAUUAGGAGUUCAUCCCUAGCUAGCCUAUAACUUUGACUGAAAACUUAUGAAUCUGAAACAUUUUGAUUUAAGGACAUUAAGUGUUGUCAGUAUGUAUUUAGAAAUGAAAUUACAUGUCAUAUUUUCAGAUUUUUUUUUAAAUAGUAUAUGUUUUCCCAUUUUA